AGGGAGCCCCUAGGAGCAGCGAGCGGCACGGGGUGGGACCGGAUACUCAGAUUGGACCAUUUUAACAUUUCUUUUUAAACGUUAACACCGGAGUGCAACGAGACACACAAAGCGACAGUGUUGUCAGGGGUGAACUUGCGGGCUUUCGCGUCUCGUCGAAACCUCUGGAGCUGUCAGAAAAAAAUUGAUUGAGAGUUAAGGUGUGGCUGAGGGUUUCUGUAAGGCUUUCUGCACUGAAAAAAAAUGUUACAGAACCGACUGUUUCUGCUCGGGAGUUGCCAUCUGAGCCGAGACUCUUAUAUCUAGCAAUGGUUUUAAAGAUUCUGUUCAGUCAUUUUCAUCAAGGGAGAUAUUACAUAACAAAUGUAUUGCCAUCUAGAUGUGCGCACCUUUUGGCUUAAAUCCCUUCGCUGUAGCCUAGAUUAAUUGGACCAUUACGCUGUUAAGAAGUAAGUAGAGUGUGUAUUUUUUACUGCUUGGCAGGUCGUUUUGCUUUCAUAAGUCUGUGAAACGUAACGGACGUGGCAACUUUACAGUAGCCAGCCCUGCUGAAUGCCACAGACAAACUGGGCGUGGGGGAAACAGUCCGAACAGAGCCUAAUAAUCCUCAAAUCUCAUCCACGCACGGCCACUAAAUUGCGCAUAUUUGAGGUAGUAUCGCCACACUGACGAGCGCCUCGGCGGAGCCAGUGGAUUUACCUGAACCAAAUAUCUCCAGGUGCCCACAGUAGAUCUGCUUUUAACCAACUUUCGACCAUGGCAUCAGCAUCUACUUCCAGGAGUCUAGAGGUGAUAAUUGGUGGAGGGAAUCGGCCUGUGAGUGCAUUAAGAGAUCGUGGAAGGAGGGGAUGCAUGAGGAGGAGAAACACCUGCAGUAAGUUGAAUCCACCUGACCCAACAGGAUGAGGCUGUUUUGCUUUCUGGUCGUAUGCAUUUGAAUUUGUGUGUGUGCACCCCCCUCUCUUCCUCCCUCUUUGCCAUCCAGAUGUGCCACACCCGUGCUGCUAGACCUGGGUGGCCUGUACCUGUGCCUGUGCCAGCUGCUGUGCCAGCUGUGCAGGGGUGAGCGAGCAGAACAGCAUCACAGAAAGAGGUGAACAGACAGCUGCUGCAAACAGAGAGAUGGAGAAGCAUCAUUAAAGGAGGACUGAGUCAACCUACACACCAUCAAUCAUAAUAUAUUCAUUACUGGCUCACAGUUAUGUUACAGCAUAAAACUUAUCAUUAAGUUGAAAGCAUUUAAAAUUGGAAUUAGGGGCUGUAUAAUAUGUACUUUGCUGUGUCAUACACUCGCAAAUGUUUUAUAAUUACAGAAAUUGUGUCUGUUUCCAUUUUUCAACAUUAUUGGCAGCACUGAAUUUUAAUAAUGUAUAGGUACUUUGUUUUAUCUUCGUUCGACUCGUGGUUCAGAGUCACAUGGCGAAAGGGGAACUACAGCACUUUGGUGUUCCGGGCUCGAGGCUUAUGGACUUAACUAACUCACUUUCUUGUUUGGAGACAUACAUUAUACUGCCAGAGGGAACAUAAACAAUAAUCUUCUUAAGGUGUGAGCUGCUCUGAGCAGUAAUAGCAAGUCCUUACUCAAGCAAUUUACUGUAUAUGAAGUUGAGAUAGUGACUAGUGCUGUAUCGUAAUGCUGUACUGUAGUGCAGUUAUCUGUCAGUUCGGCACUUAACAUGAACUAAAAUUCUGAUGUUGAUUUCUGUUAAGAUUAUGAUACGGCAGACAGAAAUUAGAUACCAACGCCAUGUUCUCAGUUCACUGCACUAGCAGAAAAACAGCCUCUUUACAGUGCGUAACUGUAACCUAGAAUAGACACACACAAAAAAAACAGGUGAAACAUUAACAUUGGCUCCUUUAGGUGUCCCAGUGAGUUUAUAUCAGUAUUCAUAGAAGAGACCUGGGACCUCUAUGGAAAGCCAUAACUCAUGGUAUUGAUUACAUGUUUGCUUUUAUGCUAUGACGUGUUAAAAUGUUGCUAUUGGCUGAAUGGUUGGUUAGCAUUUUUAGAUUAUAUAUUGUUACUCAUUUAAAAUGGUCAUGAAAGCCAUAUUUCCAUAAGUUUUUUUUAAAGCAAAAAUAUCUUCUUUUUUAAGGGAAUUUUACUAAUAUAGUUUGGAAAAUGUAAUACCAGUCACAUCUUUGCACAGCAUGUAUCGACAUCAGGCCAUUGACUUUGACCCCUAACUGUUAGUAGAUUAACUUCGUCUGUUCAAGGUCCUCUGACCCUCACAGAGAAGGUCACAGACAAUUUCUUCAAGAAGAUAAAUCGAAUUCUGUUCUUUAUCUGCUGUAGAGAUAUUCUCCCUCAGGACAUCUAUUUAAGAUGUGAUCUAUGUGCCUUAUCACUGGCUUGCAAUAUAAUGGCUAAUGGAGUGAUAGAUGAUGUGUUUGAGCAUACUUUGAAAUAGAAAUUCCGAGAACAAAGCACUAAUGGACAAGAUGCACAUAUCCUAGAUUUGGCAGGGUGGAAUAAAUUGCAAAUACGUGGAGUAGUUUUUUUUUUUUUAGACUAAAGUAUUCUCUGGUGUGGUGUCUGCUGUCCAGCCCUUGUUCACCUCUUAAGUCAAAGCAGGAAGAAGCUCCAAGGCCAGGUCUGAAGAGGUUUACAAACCUCUCCUAAAUUCUUCCCUGUGGGUAAAAUCAUGUGAAAGCUGCUUAGGCAGAUUAUCCCUGCCUCGACGGCAGCUGGCAGCGAGAUCCUUGGGAGUGCACCUGACUCAAUACUGGUGGUGACGCAACCGCAGCCUGUGGCACAGCGUGCUCCCACAAUCCUCUGUGGCCUUUAGCCCCUGAGGGAAAAGUGCAUCUUGUGGUUUAAAGCAAGCAGGAACUAAAUAGGAGAUCACACACACACAUAAUGCACUGAUCAAAAUGCAAGUGAUCUGAUUACUUAAAAUUUUGAAAUGUUUAAUCUGUUAAGGUAAAGCAUGAUAAAAAAAAAAGUUAUUAUAUUGUUCAGGAAUGUGUUUUAACUCAUUUACAUUGUGUAAUAAUUAUGGAUAAAUAUAAUUCUAAGUGAUUGUGUGUAAGUGGUGCUUAAUUAGUGUUUAAACUUGGUAUUAUUAAAUAACAUAACACCAUCAACAACCAUCCCUGUUUCCUGGACUUAUUUCCAUCAUUGUCCCUGAUAUUUACACAUUCUAAUAACCUUUAUCAAGA